rnacentral:lncRNA from 1 species
GCCGCCCGCCCGACAUCCCCAAAUCAAUUACCGAUAUUUUUGUCACAAAAAUCCUGUUAAAAACGACAAAAUUUAUUUAAAUAUUACCAAUUGGGGGCAGCAACCCAACAACCGGUUGUCCAAUUCAUCGGAAAAUUUCAGGGCAGAUAGGUAUUGACCUGAUAAACAAUUUAACCCAUUGUCAGAUUUGCUCUAAAUGCUUUGGUUUCAGAGUUAUAAGCCAAAUACUACAUUUUCCCCUAUGUUCUAUUUCUAGCCAUGGCGGCCAUCUUGGUUGGUUGGCCGGGUCACAGGACUCAAUUUUUUAAACUAGAAACCCCAAUGAUGAUUGUGGCCAAGUUUGGUUAAAUUUGACCCAGUAGUUUCUGAGGAGAAGAUUUUUGUAAAAGGCCUUCGGGCCAGGUGAGCUAAAAAAGUGCUGAAAAAUUAUUAUUUGAGUUAAUUUUUAAGUCCAACAACCAUAACUCUGCACAAAAUCGGAAAUUGAUC